rnacentral:rRNA from 1 species
AAAUGAAUAGACGGGCACCCGCACAAGCGGUGGAGCAUGCUGUUUAAUUCGAAGAUACGCGAAAAACCUUACCUAGGCUUGACAUGCCGAUGAUCGACUUAGAAAUAAGUUUUCCCUUCGGGGCAUCGGACACAGGUGGUGCAUGGUUGUCGUCAGCUCGUGUCGUGAGAUGUUUGGUUAAGUCCAAUAACGAGCGCAACCCCUGUUCUUAAUUGCUAACAUUUAGUUGAGAACCUUAAGAAUACUGUCGGUAAUAAACCGAAGGAAGGUGGGGAUGACGUCAAAUCAUCAUGCCCCUUACGUCUAGGGCUACAGGCGUGCUACAAUGGCCAAUAUAAUAAGUUGCAAUAUCGUAAGAUUGAGCUAAUCUCUAAAGUUGGUCUCAGUUCGGAUUGAGGUCUGCAAUUCGACCUCAUGAAGUCGGAAUCGCUAGUAAUCCCGAAUCAGAAUGUCGGGGUGAAUACGUUCCCGGGUGUUGUACACACCGCCCGU